AACGAACGCUGGCGGCAUGCCUAACACAUGCAAGUCGAACGAGACCUUCGGGUCUAGUGGCGCACGGGUGCGUAACGCGUGGGAACCUGCCUUUAGGUUCGGAAUAACUCAGAGAAAUUUGAGCUAAUACCGGAUAAUGUCUUCGGACCAAAGAUUUAUCGCCUUUAGAUGGGCCCGCGUUGGAUUAGCUAGUUGGUGGGGUAAAGGCCUACCAAGGCGACGAUCCAUAGCUGGUCUGGGAGGAUGAUCAGCCACACUGGGACUGAGACACGGCCCAGACUCCUACGGGAGGCAGCAGUGGGGAAUAUUGGACAAUGGGCGGAAAGACCUGAUCCAGCAAUGCCGCGUGAGUGAUGAAGGCCUUAGGGUUGUUAAAGACUCUUUUACCCGGGUACCGAUGAUGACGGUACCUGGAGGAAUAAGCCCGGCUAACUCUGCCAGCAGCCG
rnacentral:rRNA from 1 species